UCGGGAAUUUUGUGCAAUGGGCGAAAGCCUGACACAGCAACGCCGCGUGAAGGAUGAAGUCCCUCGGGAUGUAAACUUCGUAAGAAUAGGAAGAAUAAAUGACGGUACUAUUUGUAAGGUCCGGCUAACUACGUGCCAGCAGCCGCGGUAAUACGUAGGGACCAAGCGUUGUUCGGAUUUACUGGGCGUAAAGGGUGCGUAGGCGGCAUAUCAAGUCACUUGUGAAAUCUCUGGGCUUAACCCAGAACGGCCAAGUGAUACUGUCGCGCUAGAGUGCAGAAGGGGCAAUCGGAAUUCUUGGUGUAGCGGUGAAAUGCGUAGAUAUCAAGAGGAACACCUGAGGUGAAGACGGGUUGCUGGGCUGACACUGACGCUGAGGCGCGAAAGCCAGGGGAGCAAACGGGAUUAGAUACCCAAGUAGUCCCUGAGCGGGCUGGCAAGGCGCAU
rnacentral:rRNA from 1 species